UGGAGGUGCCUUUGAAUUAGGGCAUUAUGGGAGGUGAUUUAUAUGUUGCUUUUAAUGACAAAUGUCUCCAUAAAAAUUCACUAAUUUUCUACCUACUAUUUAUAUCUGUUCAUCAUUGGAAGAUCUAAUUCUGGUCACAGAUUCUGCAUAGUCACCGAGCUGCUUGUUGAGGAAAGGGGAAGGGCGUCACACGACCAGAAAAGGCUACGUAAAUCUGAGUGGAAGCUGCUAAAAAAAGAAGCGGCACCAAGUUUGGUCCACUGUGGCUCUACCCAAUCUGCUUCAAGGUUGGAUGGGUUGUACCUUCACAGAUGGUAUUCUCCAUAGAAUAUCAUCAUAGGUGACAGCAAGAGUGAUGCAUAGCGCUCUCCUGCAUGUGUCUCCUUCUCUCCUGCUCAACGUGAAUCAAUUUUCAUCAGAAAACUGCACCGAGGCCCACUGCUCCCGCAUCAAGCGUAACUGUUCUCUGGCUCAUACAAGACGAAGAUGCCUGUGCCUGGUGAUGUGGUCAGGUACCCUUGCAGCUUGUCCACCACGCAGACCACAUUGAUGUAAACGGUUUGGAAUGGUCUGACAACACUCGGGUGCCUCUCACCUUCCUUAAAUGUGCCUGGAGUUGAGUGGCAUUCAUCAUCUGGUUCUGCAGGGCACUGUUCACAAUGAAGUGGUCAUCAAUGUAGGAUGUGGCCAAAUAACACCCACUUCUAUGUCUUUCUGUGACUCUUCCUGUCUCUCUGAUGCAACCUGUUGAUAUCACUCUGAUACUCUAAGCUCAGUGGUUACUUCCGUUUGAGAACAUCCUGUCUUGUAGUGGUGUGGUACUGUUAAUCAAAUCUCAGGUGUCAUCUUGAUCUCAUGAUGUCAAAAAAUGUACAGCAUUGUGAGGAGGCCUGUUUAGAUAACAAAUCUGAUUGAAACAGGAAAUGUGUUGGUCAAUUCAAGGA